AUUGAACGCUGGCGGCAUGCCUUACACAUGCAAGUCGAACGGCAGCGCGGGAGCUUGCUCCUGGCGGCGAGUGGCGAACGGGUGAGUAAUACAUCGGAACGUGUCCGUUUGUGGGGGACAACCAGCCGAAAGGUUGGCUAAUACCGCAUAAGACCUGAGGGUGAAAGCCGGGGACCGCAAGGCCUGGCGCAGACGGAGCGGCCGAUGAUUGAUUAGCGUGUUGGCGGGGUAAAGGCCCACCAAGGCGACGAUCAAUAGCUGGUCUGAGAGGACGACCAGCCACCCUGGAACUGAGACACUGUCCAGACUCCUACGGGAGGCAACAGUGGGGAAGUUUGGACGAUGGGGGCAACGCAGAUCCAGCCAUGCCGCGGGCGGGAAGAAGGCCUUCGGGUUGGAAACCGCUUUUGUCAGGGAGGAGAAGGAACGGGUGAAGAGCUAGUUCUGCUAACGGUACCUGAAGAAUAAGCACCGGCUACUACGUGCCAGCCGCCGCCGUAA
rnacentral:rRNA from 1 species